rnacentral:rRNA from 1 species
AGAGUUUGAUCCUGGCUCAGGAUGAAACGCUGGCGGCGUGCUUAACACAUGCAAGUCGAACGAAGCACCUUAACUUGAUUUUCUUCGGAAUUGAUUGUUCUGUGACUGAGUGGCGGACGGGUGAGUAACGCGUGGGUAACCUGCCUCACACAGGGGGACAACAGCUGGAAACGGCUGCUAAUACCGCAUAAGCGCACAGCUUCGCAUGAAGCAGUGUGAAAAACUCCGGUGGUGUGAGAUGGACCCGCGUCUGAUUAGCUAGUUGGUGAGGUAACGGCCCACCAAGGCGACGAUCAGUAGCCGACCUGAGAGGGUGACCGGCCACAUUGGGACUGAGACACGGCCCAAACUCCUACGGGAGGCAGCAGUGGGGAAUAUUGCACAAUGGGCGAAAGCCUGAUGCAGCGACGCCGCGUGAGCGAAGAAGUAUUUCGGUAUGUAAAGCUCUAUCAGCAGGGAAGAAAAUGACGGUACCUGACUAAGAAGCUCCGGCUAAAUACGUGCCAGCAGCCGCG